UGGGGAAUUUUGGACAAUGGGCGAAAGCCUGAUCCAGCAAUGCCGCGUGUGUGAAGAAGGCCUUCGGGUUGUAAAGCACUUUUGUCCGGAAAGAAAUCCUUGGCUCUAAUACAGUCGGGGGAUGACGGUACCGGAAGAAUAAGCACCGGCUAACUACGUGCCAGCAGCCGCGGUAAUACGUAGGGUGCAAGCGUUAAUCGGAAUUACUGGGCGUAAAGCGUGCGCAGGCGGUUUGCUAAGACCGAUGUGAAAUCCCCGGGCUCAACCUGGGAACUGCAUUGGUGACUGGCAGGCUAGAGUAUGGCAGAGGGGGGUAGAAUUCCACGUGUAGCAGUGAAAUGCGUAGAGAUGUGGAGGAAUACCGAUGGCGAAGGCAGCCCCCUGGGCCAAUACUGACGCUCAUGCACGAAAGCGUGGGGAGCAAACAGGAUUAGAUACCCUGGGUAGUCCACGCCCUAAACGAUGUCAACUAGUUGUUGGGGAUUCAUUUCCUUAGUAACGUAGCUAACGCGUGAAGUUGACCGCCUGGGGAGUACGGUCGCAAGAUUAAAACUCAAAUGAAUUGACGGGGUCAUA
rnacentral:rRNA from 1 species